rnacentral:lncRNA from 1 species
ACCCAAGAAUCGUGCAGCGGAUGGCAAGAUUUAAAAGAUUGCACUCCAUGCGACGCAAUCUGGACAGCCACACAGCCAAUCGAGAAAUCUGCCCUGUAAUUUUGUGCUCCAUGCAGAAGCAACAAUCAUAAGAUAGCAAGAAGAGGAGUGGAGGGUGCUCAUUGUCCAGAUCAAGGGAGGCGAACAUCAGCACCAGCGCACAGGCAUUCUUCUCAUUUUUACCAUGAGUAACCAUCAUAUUCUGGAUCAUAAAGAGGGAACUGCUGUCAUGUGCCCUCAGUUCCAGGUUUUGUCUGACUUUCUCAGUGCUCACUUGCCCAAAGCACCUCCUACAGAUGAGCAAAUAUUGGAUUUUAUUGAAAAAAGGCUUGCACCUUUUAGAAAUCCUUCAACUCAGCAAAAAGGAGACUAUGGUGCCACGCUCUUAAAUGAGGACUCGCAAAUCGGAGAGAACGCUGACUGCAACAUACCAGAAUCCAGCAAUGCCAUCAAUCUCCCCGCAUCCUCUUUUUCUAAUGAAGAAAAUGUCCAGAGGCAAGGUCAUAAUGUGUUGACUGAGAGGCACACUGCCACAGGAGGGCAAAUACUUGACAACUGUUCAACUAGCAGCAAGUCAAAUGCUGUGUUAACGUUCAAGCCUACAGUGACAAGGGAUUGUGCUACAGUUACAUCAGAUACACAUUCAACAGCUUCCGGCUGGAAAAGGAAAAGUCUGUGAUCCCGAGUCCCCAUCGAGGAUGGGUGUCUACAAGUGCCUGCCAGACAGAUCAUUGAGUGUUGGAUCAGCAGUUUUCACCUAGCAGAUUGUCUGUCAUUUUCUCAGUGUUUCUAUACAAUUACUGUCUUCCCAGUAUUUUUUUCUUGUCAUAAAAUAGAAUACACUGUAUUUUAAUAGUUUUUUGUAUAUUCACAUGUUUUUUUGUAACAUCUACCUCAAUAUGUGUAAAUUGUGUAAUUUAGUUAACUGUUAGUUUUUUUUUUUUCUAAAAACCUGUUUUUAUUUUUUCUCCUCAUUUUGAAACAGUUUUCUAAUACCACAGUAUGAUAAGCUGUAAUUUGAAUGAUUUGCUGUUUUUUUUACCACUAGAUGGAGACGUUGUACAGAUUUAGGCAGCAGGCCUGUACUGAACAUGUACAAAACAUUUGACCUGUAAAAAAAAAAAUAUAUAUAUAUGUAUGUUUGUGUGUAUAUGUAUUUCAUUAAACAUUUUAGAUUAGCUAUUAUUAUUAUUAUUAUUAUUAGCAAGAAAGUUUUGUCCAUUUUAAUAAAAGUUUGGUUGAAUGUCA